rnacentral:rRNA from 1 species
AACAAACGCUGGCGGCGUGCCUAACACAUGCAAGUCGUACGAGAAAGGGUCCUUCGGGGCCUGAGUAAAGUGGCGCACGGGUGAGUAACGCGUGGAUAAUCUGCCCUUCAGUUGGGAAUAACUCAUCGAAAGGUGGGCUAAUACCGAAUAAUGCUGUGAGACCUCGGUUGAUCAGCCAAAGAGAGCCUCUGCUUGCAAGCCCUCGCUGAAGGAUGAGUCCGCGUACCAUUAGCUAGUUGGUAGGGUAAUGGCCCACCAAGGCAACGAUGGGUAACUGGUCUGAGAGGAUGAUCGGUCACACUGGAACUGAGACACGGUCCAGACUCCUACGGGAGGCAGCAGUAGGGAAUAUUGCACAAUGGGGGAAACCCUGAUGCAGCAACGCCGCGUGAGUGAAGAAGGCCCUUGGGUUGUAAAGCUCUUUAGCGUGGGAAGAAGGUAGAUACGGUGAAUAAUCGUGUUUGCUGACGGUACCACGAGAAUAAGCACCGGCUAAUUUCGUGCCAGCCGCCGCCGUAAGAC